rnacentral:rRNA from 1 species
CAGCAGCCACGGUAAUACGUAGGGUGCGAGCGUUAAUCGGAAUUACUGGGCGUAAAGCGUGCGCAGGCGGUUAUGUAAGACAGGUGUGAAAUCCCCGGGCUUAACCUGGGAGCUGCGCUUGUGACUGCACAGCUAGAGUAUGGCAGAGGGGGGUGGAAUUCCACGUGUAGCAGUGAAAUGCGUAGAGAUGUGGAGGAACACCGAUGGCGAAGGCAGCCCCUGGGCCAAUACUGACGCUCAUGCACGAAAGCGUGGGGAGCAAACAGGAUUAGAUACCCGAGUAGUCCCUGUCUCUUAUACA